GCCAGGCGCAGUGGCGUGUGCCUGCGGUCCAGCUACUUGGGAGACUGAGGUGGGAGGAUCACUUGAGCCCAGGAGUUCUGGGCUGCAGUGCGCUAUGCUGAUUGGGUGUCUGCACUAAGUUCAGCAUCAGUAUGGUGACCUCCCAGGAGCAGAGAACCACCAGGUUGCUGAAAGUGGGGUGAACCAGCCCAGACCAGAAACGGAGCAGGUCAAAACUCCUGUGCUGAUCGGUAGUGGGAUCAUGCCUGUAAAUAGCCACUGCACUCCAGCCUGGGCAACAUAGUGAGACCCCGUCCCU
rnacentral:SRP_RNA from 1 species